UACACACCUGUGUUAGCAGCGGCAAGGUCUGAGUUCAGUCAGUGGUAGCAAACCCCACCCGGUCUCGUUCACUCCCUCUGCUCCUGCUCAGCUGCAAGUAAAUAUUAACUAGUCUAACAUGUAGCUAAAAAUGGAGUUAAACACUGGAGAUGAAGUCAUUUAGGAUGAGCUAUGUACCUCUGAUGCUAUAGUUACAGCCAAAAUCUCUCUAGGCAAACGUGAGUCAGCCUGUGCACAACGGACAGGCCGCCCUAGGCAGCCUUUUGAAACUGCCACACCAGUGAAACAGCUCAGACUUCUGGCUGUCAGGCCUUCAUUCUGUUUAAAUACUUUCUAGAUGGCGAAACACAUGGUGAAGGCCAAGGCAUCACUGAGACCAACUAGCUCAUCCUAACUGUAAAGCUGUGUUCUACUGAAACCAGUGCUUCAACUUGACAAAACAGACCAAAGCUAUUUCCUGAAUUUAAGUCCUCAGGGGCUUUAGCACCCCAAAAUUCACGAUACUGUUUUUCCCUUCUUUAUACUGUUCAUUUGCACAUUGCACAACACUUGUGAUUAAUAAAACAACCAGACUUCUCCUUAGGAGCUUGUUUCUUGAUCUUUUUAAAUGUAAUGUACAGCAAUAAACUGUCACUUUAGGGCAACGCUCUCUAAGAUGCCUCUGCAGAACAUGUUCUCUAGGUUGCACAUACCCAUUUCCCUUUGUCAUACCUACUUACGUUAAGCAAUUCAAGUAGGAGGCUAGAAAGUAUUUCAGUGGUGCGGGUGUU